rnacentral:rRNA from 1 species
CGGGUGAAGGAACUAGGCAAAAUGGUGCCGUAACUUCGGGAGAAGGCACGCUGACACGUAGGUGAAGUGAUUUACUCAUGGAGCUGAAGUCAGUCGAAGAUACCAGCUGGCUGCAACUGUUUAUUAAAAACACAGCACUGUGCAAACACGAAAGUGGACGUAUACGGUGUGACGCCUGCCCGGUGCCGGAAGGUUAAUUGAUGGGGUCAGCGCAAGCGAAGCUCCUGAUCGAAGCCCCGGUAAACGGCGGCCGUAACUAUAACGGUCCUAAGGUAGCGAAAUUCCUUGUCGGGUAAGUUCCGACCUGCACGAAUGGCGUAAUGAUGGCCAGGCUGUCUCCACCCGAGACUCAGUGAAAUUGAACUCGCUGUGAAGAUGCAGUGUACCCGCGGCAAGACGGAAAGACCCCGUGAACCUUUACUAUAGCUUGACACUGAACAUUGAGCCUUGAUGUGUAGGAUAGGUGGGAGGCUUUGAAGCGUGGACGCCAGUCUGCGUGGAGCCGACCUUGAAAUACCACCCUUUAAUGUUUGAUGUUCUAACGUGGACCCGUAAUCCGGGUUGCGGACAGUGUCUGGUGGGUAGUUUGACUGGGGCGGUCUCCUCCUAAAGAGUAACGGAGGAGCACGAAGGUUGGCUAAUCCUGGUCGGACAUCAGGAGGUUAGUGCAAUGGCAUAAGCCAGCUUGACUGCGAGCGUGACGGCGCGAGCAGGUGCGAAAGCAGGUCAUAGUGAUCCGGUGGUUCUGAAUGGAAGGGCCAUCGCUCAACGGAUAAAAGGUACUCCGGGGAUAACAGGCUGAUACCGCCCAAGAGUUCAUAUCGACGGCGGUGUUUGGCACCUCGAUGUCGGCUCAUCACAUCCUGGGGCUGAAGUAGGUCCCAAGGGUAUGGCUGUUCGCCAUUUAAAGUGGUACGCGAGCUGGGUUUAGAACGUCGUGAGACAGUUCGGUCCCUAUCUGCCGUGGGCGCUGGAAGACUGAGGGGGGCUGCUCCUAGUACGAGAGGACCGGAGUGGACGCAUCACUGGUGUUCGGGUUGUCAUGCCAAUGGCACUGCCCGGUAGCUAAAUGCGGAAAAGAUAAGUGCUGAAAGCAUCUAAGCACGAAACUUGCCCCGAGAUGAGUCUUCCCUGAGACUUUGAGUCUCCUGAAGGAACGUUAAAGACGAUGACGUUGAUAGGCCGGGUGUGUAAGCGCAGCGAUGCGUUGAGCUAACCGGUACUAAUGAACCGUGAGGCUUAACCUUACAACGCCGAAGCUGUU